CCUUACCUGAAUGCACGACUCUUCAACCUCAGGACUUGCAGAAUUAGUGGAAUGCCAUCCUAAGGUUGUUGAGUUGUGCAUUUCUGGGC
ensembl:miRNA MIR676 microRNA 676